GGGUGUAGCCCAGUGGUAGAGCAUAUGCCUAGCAUGCAUGAGGUCUUGGGCUCAAUCCCCAGUGCUGCCA
rnacentral:tRNA from 1 species